UACAGAGGGUGCGAGCGUUGUUCGGAAUUAUUGGGCGUAAAGCGCGCGUAGGCGGCUUUGCAAGUCGGGUGUGAAAUCCCCAGGCUUAACCUGGGAACUGCAUUCGAGACUGCAUUGCUAGAGUAUGGGAGAGGGAAGUGGAAUUUCCGGUGUAGCGGUGAAAUGCGUAGAUAUCGGAAGGAACAUCAGUGGCGAAAGCGACUUCCUGGACCAAUACUGACGCUCAUGUGCGAAAGCGUGGGGAGCAAACAGG
rnacentral:rRNA from 1 species